rnacentral:rRNA from 1 species
GCAGCCGCGGUAAUACGAAGGGUGCAAGCGUUACUCGGAAUUACUGGGCGUAAAGCGCACGUAGGCGGCUCGGUAAGUCUCAUUGUGAAAGCCCGGGGCUCAACCCCGGGAGGCCAGGGGAUACUGUCGAGCUGGAGACAAGCAGAGGCUGGUAGAAUUCCGGGUGUAGCGGUGGAAUGCGUAGAGAUCCGGAGGAAUACCAGAGGCGAAGGCGGCCAGCUGGGCUUGGUCUGACGCUGAGGUGCGAAAGCGUGGGGAGCGA